GAUGAAGAACGUAGCGAAAUGCGAUACUUGGUGUUAAUUGCAGAAUCCCGUGAACCAUCGAGUCUUUGAACGCAAGUUGCGCCUCAAGCCAUUAGGUUGAGGGCACGUCUGCCUGGGCGUCACAUAUCGUUGCCUGAUGCCAGUUUCCUCGUGAUGGGUGACUGUGCAGGGUGAAUGAUGGCUUCCCGUGAGCAUUGUUGCCUCAUGGUUGGUUGAAAAUUGAGUCCUUGGUAGGGAGCGCCGUGAUAGAUGGUGGUUGAGUGACGAACGAGACCCAAUCAUGUGAGACCCCUACCGAAUUUGGCCUUCAUGACCCACAUGCGUCUUUGGAACGCUCAUGACGAGACCUCAGGUCAGGCGGGGCUACCCGCUGAGUUUAAGCAUAUCAAUAAGCGGAGGA
rnacentral:misc_RNA from 1 species